ACGUGGGUCGUUUGAGGAUCUGUUCCAUGGUCAUACAAUCUUGCAAGGCCAAAAUCCCCUAAUCUUCCAUUCAAUUCACCAUCUAGCAAGACAUUACUAGCCUUGACAUCUCUAUGAAUCACAACUUGCUCCCAUUCUUCAUGCAGAUAUAAUAGCCCUGAAGCUACGCCUUUGAUGACUCUAAAUCUUUGGCUCCAAUUGAGGGCGACUGUUGGUUGGUCAUAGAGGUAUUUGUCUAGACUUCCAUUAGGCAUGUAGUCAUAUACCAAAAGUAG